rnacentral:rRNA from 1 species
AUUGAACGCUGGCGGCAGGCUUAACACAUGCAAGUCGAGCGGGGUGAUGGUGCUUGCACUAUCACUUAGCGGCGGGCGGGUGAGUAAUGCUUAGGAAUCUGCCUAUUAGUGGGGGACAACAUCUCGAAGGGGAUGCUAAUACCGCAUACGUCCUACGGGGGAAAGCAGGGGAUCACUUGUGACCUUGCGCUAAUAGAUGAGCCUAAGUCGGAUUAGCUAGUUGGUGGGGUAAAAGCCUACCAAGGCGACGAUCUGUAGCGGGUCUGAGCGGAUGAUCCGCCACGCUGGGACUGAGCAACGGCCCAGACGCCAACGGGAGGCAGCAGUGGGGAAUAUUGGACAAUGGGGGGAACCCUGAUCCAGCCAUGCCGCGUGUGUGAAGAAGGCCUUAUGGUUGUAAAGCACUUUAAGCGAGGAGGAGGCUCUUUUGGUUAAUACCCAAGAUGAGUGGACGUUACUCGCAGAAUAAGCACCGGCUAACUCUGUGCCAGCCGCCGCCGUAA